rnacentral:misc_RNA from 1 species
GGACAAUCAGAAGUUUGUUAGGCGGGGACAUCAGGAUAAAAACAUAUUUAAUAAGUUUUUAAUUACCUUUCUUCUUCUUUCUGCAUUUGGGAAAAGGAUAGGUUAGUUCCUAUAUUCCUAUUCAUAAGAAUUGGCUGUGUAUAUAGAGUGACCGGAGAAGUGUUUAAGAACAUUAUCAUGCCUGAAGAAAGUUGAUCUGGUGACUGAUAGCACGUAAUAGU